rnacentral:rRNA from 1 species
CACGUAGGGGGCUAGCGUUGUCCGGAAUCAUUGGGCGUAAAGAGCGUGUAGGCGGUCCGGUAAGUCCGCUGUGAAAGCCCUGGGCUCAACCUAGGAAGUGCACUCGAAACUGCGGGAGCUUGAGUCUCGGAGAGGGGUCGCGGGAAUUCUCGGUGUAGAGGGUGAAAUUCGUAGAUAUCGAGAGGGAACACCCGGGUGGGCGAAGGCGGGCGACCUGGACGAUGACUGACGCUGAGACGCGAAAGCGUGGGGAGCAAACAGG